rnacentral:rRNA from 2 species
AGAGCACUGUUUGGACUAGGGGGCCAUCCCGGUUUACCGAAUUCAGACAAACUCCGAAUGCCAGAUAUUUAUACACGGGAGUCAGACUGCGAGUGAUAAGAUCCGUAGUCAAAAGGGAAACAGCCCAGACCACCAGCUAAGGUCCCAAAGUAAUCGUUAAGUGGAAAAGGAUGUGGCGUUGCACAGACAACCAGGAUGUUGGCUUAGAAGCAGCCAUCAUUUAAAGAGUGCGUAAUAGCUCACUGGUCGAGUGACGCUGCGCCGAAAAUGUAUCGGGGCUAAACGAUUCACCGAAGCUGUGGAUUGACAUCUACGAUGUCAGUGGUAGGAGAGCGUUCUAAGUGCGUUGAAGUCAGACCGGAAGGACUGGUGGAGCGCUUAGAAGUGAGAAUGCCGGUAUGAGUAGCGAAAGACGGGUGAGAAUCCCGUCCACCGUAUGACUAAGGUUUCCUGAGGAAGGCUCGUCCGCUCAGGGUUAGUCGGGACCUAAGCCGAGGCCGAUAGGCGUAGGCGAUGGACAACAGGUUGAUAUUCCUGUACCACCUCCUCACCGUUUGAGAAAUGGGGGGACGCAGUAGGAUAGGGUAAGCGCGCUGUUGGUUAUGCGCGUCCAAGCAGUAAGGCGUGUGUGUAGGCAAAUCCGCACACUGUAACGUUGAGCUGUGAUGGCGAGUCCGUAUGGACGAAGUUCCUGAUUUCACACUGCCAAGAAAAGCCUCUAUCGAGGUGAGAGGUGCCCGUACCGCAAACCGACACAGGUAGUCGAGGAGAGAAUCCUAAGGUGUGCGAGAGAACUCUCGUUAAGGAACUCGGCAAAAUGACCCCGUAACUUCGGGAGAAGGGGUGCUCUUGAGCGUGCAAGCGCAUGAGAGCCGCAGUGAAUAGGCCCAGGCGACUGUUUAGCAAAAACACAGGUCUCUGCAAAACCGUAAGGUGACGUAUAGGGGCUGACGCCUGCCCGGUGCUGGAAGGUUAAGAGGAGUGGUUAGCGCAAGCGAAGCUGCGAAUUGAAGCCCCAGUAAACGGCGGCCGUAACUAUAACGGUCCUAAGGUAGCGAAAUUCCUUGUCGGGUAAGUUCCGACCCGCACGAAAGGCGUAACGAUCUGGGCACUGUCUCAACGAGAGACUCGGUGAAAUUAUAGUACCUGUGAAGAUGCAGGUUACCCGCGACAGGACGGAAAGACCCCGUGGAGCUUUACUGUAGCCUGAUAUUGAAUUUUGGUACAACUUGUACAGGAUAGGUAGGAGCCAGAGAUCUCGGAGCGCCAGCUUCGAAGGAGGCGUCGGUGGGAUACUACCCUGGUUGUAUUGAAAUUCUAACCCAUGCCCCUUAGCGGGGCAGGAGACAGUGUCAGGCGGACAGUUUGACUGGGGCGGUCGCCUCCUAAAAGGUAACGGAGGCGCCCAAAGGUUCCCUCAGAAUGGUUGGAAAUCAUUCGUAGAGUGUAAAGGCACAAGGGAGCUUGACUGCGAGACCUACAAGUCGAGCAGGGUCGAAAGACGGGCUUAGUGAUCCGGUGGUUCCGCAUGGAAGGGCCAUCGCUCAACGGAUAAAAGCUACCCCGGGGAUAACAGGCUUAUCUCCCCCAAGAGUCCACAUCGACGGGGAGGUUUGGCACCUCGAUGUCGGCUCAUCGCAUCCUGGGGCUGUAGUCGGUCCCAAGGGUUGGGCUGUUCGCCCAUUAAAGCGGUACGCGAGCUGGGUUCAGAACGUCGUGAGACAGUUCGGUCCCUAUCCGUCGUGGGCGUAGGAAAUUUGAGAGGAGCUGUCCUUAGUACGAGAGGACCGGGAUGGACACACCGCUGGUGUACCAGUUGUCUUGCCAAAGGCAUCGCUGGGUAGCUAUGUGUGGACGGGAUAAGUGCUGAAAGCAUCUAAGCAUGAAGCCCCCCUCAAGAUGAGAUUUCCCAUUACGCAAGUAAGUAAGAUCCCUCAAAGACGAUGAGGUAGAUAGGUUCGAGGUGGAAGUGUGGUGACACAUGGAGCUGACGAAUACUAAUCGAUCGAGGACUUAACCA